UACAGAGGUCUCAAGCGUUGUUCGGAUUCAUUGGGCGUAAAGGGUGCGUAGGCGGCCACUUAAGUCGGAUGUGAAAGCCCCUGGCUCAACUGGGGAAGUGCACCCGAAACUGAAUGGCUUGAAUGCAAAAGAGGGUCGCGGAAUUCCCGGUGUAGAGGUGAAAUUCGUAGAUAUCGGGAGGAACACCGGUGGCGAAGGCGGCGACCUGGGUUGACAUUGACGCUGAGGCGCGAAAGCGUGGGGAGCAAACAGG
rnacentral:rRNA from 1 species